GCGCCGCUAGCUCAACUGGCAGAGCAGCGGACUCUUAAUCCGCGGGUUCGGGGUUCGAGUCCCUGGCGGCGCACC
rnacentral:tRNA from 1 species